rnacentral:antisense_RNA from 1 species
CUCCAUGGCGGGCCGGGCGAGGCAGCAAACAGGCUGACCGGGAUUGGGUAAGUGCCCGGUUUCCACCCUCGUCGUCAGGCCCGCCGCCCCU